AUUGAACGCCGGCGGCAGGCCUAACACAUGUACGUGGAGCGGAUGAAGAGAUCUUGCUCCUGGAUUCAGAGGCGGACGGGUGAGUAAUGCCUAGGAUUCUGCCUGGUAGUGUGGGUAAACGACGCGAACCGGGCGCUAAUACCGCAUACGUCCUGCGGGAGCAAGUGGGGGCUCUUCUGACCCCACGCUAUCAGAUGCUCCUAGGUCGGAUCAGCUAGUUGGUGGGGUAAAGGCCUCCCAAGCCGACGAUCCUGAACUGGUCUGAGAGGAUGAUCAGUCACACUAGAACUGAGACACGGUCCAAACUCAUACGCGAGGCAGCAGUCGGGAAUAUUGGACGAUGGGCGAAGGCCUGAUCCAGGCAUGCCGCGUGUGUGACGAAGGUCCUCGGAUUGUAAAGCACUUGAAGUGGGGAGGAAGGGAAGUAAGUUAAUACCUUGCUGUUUUGACGUUACCAACAGAAAGAGCACCGGCUAGCCUCGUG
rnacentral:rRNA from 1 species